rnacentral:rRNA from 1 species
CCCCUAGAUGUCCUGGGCCGCACGCGCGCUACACUGAACAGUUCAACAAGUCUUAACCUUGGCCGAUAGGUCUGGGUAAUCUUUGAACGCUGUUCGUGAUUGGGAUAGACCUUUGCAAUUAUGGGUCUUCAACGAGGAAUUCCUAGUAAACGCAAGUCAUCAGCUUGCAUUGAUUACGUCCCUGCCCUUUGUACACACCGCCCGUCGCACCUACCGAUUGAAUGGUCCGGUGAAGCCUCCGGAUUGGCGCGCACCUCGGUGCCGCCGAGAAGUUGGCUAAACCUUACCAUUUAGAGGAAGGUGAAGUCGUAACA